UACAGAGGGUGCGAGCGUUAAUCGGAAUUACUGGGCGUAAAGCGUGCGCAGGCGGUUAUGUAAGACCGAUGUGAAAUCCCCGGGCUUAACCUGGGAACUGCAUUGGUGACUGGCGGGCUGGAGUAUGGCAGAGGGGGGUAGAAUUCCGACGUGUAGCAGUGAAAUGCGUAGAGAUGUGGAGGAAUACCGAUGGCGAAGGCAGCCCCCUGGGCCAAUACUGACGCCUCAUGCACGAAAGCGUGGGGAGCAAACAGG
rnacentral:rRNA from 1 species